UACGGAGGGUGCAAGCGUUAUCCGGAUUUACUGGGUUUAAAGGGUGCGUAGGUGGGUUGGUAAGUCAGUGGUGAAAUACUUUCGCUUAACGAAGGAACUGCCAUUGAUACUACCAGUCUUGAAUACAGUGGAGGUGGGCGGAAUGCGUCAUGUAGCGGUGAAAUGCUUAGAUAUGACGCAGAACACCAAUUGCGAAGGCAGCUUGCUACACUGUUAUUGACACUGAGGCACGAAAGCGUGGGGAUCAAACAGG
rnacentral:rRNA from 1 species